rnacentral:rRNA from 1 species
AUUGAACGCUGGCGGCAGGCCUAACACAUGCAAGUCGAACGGGUGGCGGACGGGUGAGUAAUGUCUGGGAAACUGCCUGAUGGAGGGGGAUAACUACUGGAAACGGUAGCUAAUACCGCAUACCAUCAGAUGUGCCCAGAUUGGAGUAGCUAGUUGGGGGGGUAACGGCUCACCAAGGCGACGAUCCCUAGCUGGUCUGAGAGGAUGACCAGCCACACGGGAGCUAGGACACGGUCCAGACUCCUACGGGAGGCAGCAGUGGGGAAUCUUGCACAAUGGGCGCAAGCCUGAUGUAGCCAUGCCGCGUGUAUGAAGAAGGCCUUCGGGUUGUAAAGUACGUUCAGCGGGGAGGCGUUACCCGCAGAAGAAGCACCGGCUAACUCCGUGCCAGCAGCCGCGGUAAUUC